GACGAACGCUGGCGGUGUGCUUAAUACAUGCAAGUCGAACGAUAAGGCCCUUCGGGGUACAUAAGUGGCGGACGGGUGAGUAACACGUAGGUAAUCUGCCUCUAGGAGGGGGAUAACAUUAGGAAACUGGUGCUAAUACCCCAUAUGUCAUAUUUUGGAAUAGAUAUGAUGAAAGUUCCGGCGCCUAGAGAUGAGCCUGCGGCUGAUUAGCUUGUUGGUGGGGUAAAGGCCUACCAAGGCGAUGAUCAGUAGCUGGUCUGAGAGGAUGAUCAGCCACAAUGGGACUGAGACACGGCCCAUACUCCUACGGGAGGCAGCAGUAGGGAAUUUUGCGCAAUGGGCGAAAGCCUGACGCAGCAACACCGCGUGAGGGAUGACGCUUCUUGGAGUGUAAACCUCUGUCAGUGGGGACGAAACCUGACGGUACCCACAAAGGAAGCAUCGGCUAACUACGUGCCAGCAGCCGCCGUAACAC
rnacentral:rRNA from 1 species